CCCGUGCCUUCUGUGCCAGAGAUGAGGGUGUGUUUGAGCAAACUUCUUAUUGACGAGAGGGUUGGCAAACGAGGAGGAGGCAUUGGGCACAGAGAACCAGGAGUACUGAGUAGAAGGCCUUCCUGCGGUGCUCCACUCUUCAUCAGUCACCCUGGAUGUUCUCUUCACUGUGGGAUGAGGUAGUAGGUUGUAUAGUUUUAGGGUCACACCCACCACUGGGAGAUAACUAUACAAUCUACUGUCUUUCCUAACGUGAUAGGAAAGUCUGCAUCCUUGCGGCCUCAUAGGAAGUUGAAAGCUAAUUGUACAAUAUAUUUAAGAUUAACUUGUGUAAAAUUGCUGUAGUGCACCAUUUCUUUAUGGCGUACAAGUUGCUUAUUCUUUUAGAGACUACAAACUUUAGCCAGUAGACUGUAUGGAGAUACUUUUGCUUAUUUCUGUAUAUCACAAUAACUGUAUUCUUUAUUUAGAUUGAUGCUGAUAAUUUUAUGUUGCAUUUUAUUUUGAAAAAGAUUGUGCUCUCCAUUCCAAAAGAAAAGAUUGCUCUAUCAGAGUGAGGUAGUAGAUUGUAUAGUUGUGGGGUAGUUAUUUUACCCUGUUCAGGAGAUAACUAUACAAUCUAUUGCCUUCCCUGCGGAGUAGACUUGCUGCAUUUUUUAUAUAUAUAUAUAGAUAGAUGAUAUUGAAACUCAAAAGAAUUAAUUUUGACAAUGUUUUAUAUUUACAGGUUUUUUUUAUGCCAGUUGCUAAUUUUCUCUGGGUAUAGUGUACCUAUAGUAGUCAUUGAUUUAACAUUUAUCACAUGUAUAUUUCAGAAAUUGGAAAGUAAUCAAAAAUCUGAAAGUUGUGUAGAAAAUUUCAGGCAAUUUUAAUAGGAGAGCAGACCUGUCCAAAGGAAUUGUGAAUAGGCUUGUCACCCUACAACCUGCUUUACAUGUCUGUGGAGGUCCUGGGUGAUAAAGGUAAAUAUGGAAUCGAAAGACACUGUUUGAGCUAAAAUGGAGUUAGAUUGUUUAUGAUUCAUUCUCCCUGGUUUGGGGUGGCCUUGGGCAGUGUUGUUAACCACUGCUCCACUGGUGUGAUGGUUUGGAUGGCUUCAUCUCUCCAGCCUGGAAAAGGAGAGUUGGGUUCUGUCCCCUGGUAAGUCACAAAGACUUGAGCUUUGUCCCCCAAAUCUGAAGUGGUCCUUUAUUCACAACGGGGGUGGUCCCCUGAUCCCCUGAAGCUGUCACAUGGGGAAAUACAUAGAGUGUUGUUUUAAAGAAAACGUGAGGGUAAUGCUAGAAAGGGCCACUUGAUUUUUAACACCCAUAAAGGCUCAUGUUUUGUUUUGUUUUGUUUUAUUUAUAAUAUUUUUAUUGAUUUCAGAGAGGAAGGGAGAGGAGAGAGAUAGAAACAUCAAUGAUGAGAGAGAAUCAUUGAUCGGCUGCCUCCUGCACGCCCCACACUGGGGAUCAAGCCCACAACCUGGGUAUGUGCCCCAACCGGGAAUCGAAUCUUGACCUCCUGGUUCAUAGGUUGAUGCUCAACUACUGAGCUACACUGGCUGGGCAAGGCUCAUGUUUUAGCUUUUUUCCAGUGGUCAAACCAUACGUUUCCUUGGGUUUUUAUAAUCAAUCAAGGCUAAAAGCUCCCUGUUUUAAGUACUUGAUGUUUUUAUUUUUGUUUUCAGAGAAGAAAAAGGAAAAUGUGGAGGUGCAUGAGAGGUCACCUCUUCCCAAAUAUUUACAUUUAUCCUGAAUCUUGGUGUCUGACGGCAAUUCUCAACUGGUGUGCUGUAAGAAUUUUUAAAACGUGCAACAUCUGACUAUUUAGUCAGGGCACUGACUUCUUUUCCCCUAGAUGGUUAAGUUAAAAAAAAAAAUUGCAAUAGCCAACACAAUAAAUCUUUGGUGUGAAUGAAUCAAAAUUGUACCUUUUUUGUGUGUGUGUCAGAACGGCAAAAAAAUCUAUUUUUUGCUGUGCUGCAGAAUUUUAGUAACUAAUUUAUGUGUGCCAUGAGGAGAAAAAGGUUGACAAUUGCUGAUCUAAGACGACAGUGCAGUGCCAUUCCCAGCAGGAACUUCGAAUGAGAGAAAACAUCAAAUUCUCUCUUUGAUGGGUCCAACCCAGGUGAUUUAUCUGGGCCAAAUUAAUGCUUUUUGUUUCAUCCCUAGCAUAGAUGGACAAGUGCAUGAUCCAGAAUUGUGUGUUUUUUUUUGUUAUAAACUUGAACAUACAAAAAUUGGGGGGGUGGGGGAGUGGGGGACUAAAAGGUGCCAAAGAAAAGUGGGAAAGUUUGAGAAGUUCUCUUCGACUUAAAUCUUGACACCUGCUUGUGUGGCAAGUACAGUCACGACGUUUUGUGCUUUUCUGACACGUGCUGCCUCCACUGUGGCUAUCAUCUUCACUCUGCCUUUGAAAACUCAUCCUUAUCUUAAACUAAGGUCUGAAGAAAAAUGAAUUUAUUUUAUUAAUUACAUAAGGACCCAUUUCAUACACCUACUAGCCAAAUCCCAGUAAGUGAAUCAAAUUAUGGAGAACUGCUAUAUUUUGUAAAAGCAUUUAAAAGUACCUUUGUGGAAAGUGAUAGUGUCUAAAAGCUUGUUUUUGAUAGCAACAAAAAGGUGAUCACAAUUCGCUUCUGUUUAUUAUAAUUAAAAGAUUAAAAACUCAAAAUAACUGGGCUCAAGGGCUGGCUGUAACCUAGGGAACGUGGCUUCUAAGGGGGACUGGUAGUAAGUUAAAUUGUUCCAGUUGGCUACAGGCAGGAUUUAUACAUAGUGUCACCUAAUUUUUCACCUUAUCAAGAGGUAAGUUUUAUGAAAUUUGAUAUUUAAAUUUUGGUAAUACAUUAAAUGUUUUUAAAAGUUGGUAGCUCCAACAAUAUAAGGUGGACUAGAUAUUAGGCUUCUGGUUUGCAUUCCUCUGAUGUAAUUGAAUUUUUGUUUCUUUGUAACAAGAGGUUUGAUUUUAAGCAUUUAAGAUCCUACUACCGACCAGUAUCAUUUUAAAGCACCAAUGAAAGUUCUGAUUGGUUUAACUUUGGGGGUAAAAAACCAAAGCCUAAUUUAACAGGUUAUUUUGAAGUGCCUCUGCCAGGCAGAAGACUGGCAAGAAAAAAAAGGGGGGUUCCUAGGAAGAGGUAGUAGGUUGCAUAGUUUUAGGGCAGGGAUUUUGCCCACAAGGAGGUAACUAUACGACCUGCUGCCUUUCUUAGGGCCUUAUUAUUCCACGGUAACCUGUUUCCUUGCCACCUUGUUUUGGUUUAAGUGGAGUUCUUUCUGCAGGUUUUCUUACAAGUUAAAAUAUUUCUUACAAAGGAAACAGCCUGCUUUCAUAAUUUAUAAUCAGCAGCAUGGUAUCAACAUCAAUUAGUAAAAGCCAACUAAUGAGGAUUUAAGACUUCUGAAGUAAACCUAGUUGCUUAUUUGUCUCACUUUGGGGUCGCUGGAAAGUUUUGGAAAGCAUUAGCUUUUUGGGGGGAGAGGGGCAAGUUCUCAUCUGAUCUAGAGUGCCAGAUGUUUCCCCCUCGUCUAUUACACCUGAAAGAAAGACAUUUGAUAAAACUAUUGAAAUAUUUGUUCCCUACACUGUAUUUGUAAAUAUUUAUCUUGCUCAAUUCCUGGGUUUGUCUUCUGAUCUUAAAAUUUGGCACGGUUCUUAGGGUGGUAUUGCGUAUUAUGGAAAUGUAUCAUUUCAUUGAGUGAGCAUUAUGGUAUGUAAGUCUGUGAUUGAAUUUGUUAAAUGUGUGUAACGGCUGGACAAUGGAGUUGUUAUAAUUUGUUAAACACCUUUUCAAUAAAAAUACUUUUACUUUAAAA